AUUUAAGUGUAGUGAUGUUCAAAAUAAAUUCUCCUCUAUUCUUAAAAGAAUUGCUCCUUCCUACCCAUGAUUGCAGUCUAACAUAAUUGGUGGAGACGUUUUUGAAUUUUCCGUACCUUUGGGGCAAGAAACCUGUAAUGUACUUUCUUCAGGUAACAUGAAUAUGACAUUAUAAAAUAAAAAAUCUUUAAAGUUGACAACCGAAAUAGAAGCUAAACAUAAACAAAAGUGAUGUUUUUGUCGCAUUCUUGUUUUUUUUCUUCCCUCAAAUGGAAAAGGUGAAGGCAGAGCCAUGCAGCUAUUGUAAACGGAAUUCCAAUAGAGACCAACGCACAUGCAAGGAUAUGAUGAUUCACAUUAUUGAAAUUACCAAUGAUUUCAAAGAAAACACCAACACAAGCAAAUUACAUUUUUCGGGAUCAAAUAUUAUAUCAAGUUGAAGGGCAAUGAUGGGCUGCCUAAUGGGUCAUCAUAGAUUUACCACUCACAACUGAUAGCUAGAGAAGGUGAAACCAAGAAAAAUCUCAGCAACCAUUGGGCAAUCGGAGAAUUAUACUCGGUCCUUCACAUAACCCCACAAGAAGAAGUCUAAGGGUGUGAGGUCCGGAGAACGAGCAGGCCAUAGCAACGGUCUCCCGCAGCCGACCAUCCUCCUUCAAAGGUAAAGGCGCGAAGAAAAGAAAACUCAUCAUAACUCCUGUUUCACAGGUGUUUUAUAAUAGCACAAGGCACUUAUAAAACACUUCACAACCUGAGAAUACCACUGGAUUUUAAAGCAGCAUUGAAAUGACUGCAUAUAGGAUUUUGUUUGUUGCAGGGUUUUGUCUUACGACGUUACCAUAAAAAUUUUCCGCCGAAUCUUGGUUAUAUAGGCGUAAAUCCAUAUAUUUUAAAUUAUUAGCCUUUUUAUUUAGAAAUUGCCAAAUAUCUUUUAAUGAUUUUAAAAGAUGUUUGAAAAUCUUUAAUGCAAGGUACCUACACUUCAAAAAAGAAUUGUAUAAUCUUGUAAAUGAAGUAAAAUGUAUAUCAAGACUGUGUUGCAUCUAUACAGACUAUACAUUUGCUAGUAUUCUAUCUUACCAAUAAGUACAAGCUGUAAUAUGAUAUAGUUUAAAUGUGAAAUUCAGUAUAACAAUGUAACACAAUAUUGAUUUUGUUUGAUAAGCAAACUCUUUAUUAGAAGAUCAUAUUGUAUGUAUUUGUGAAGUACAAUAGUAAUUUAUUUAAGAAUGUUUGUGACACGAACCCUUAAAGCAACCAGAGGGAUCCAAAUAGAUUAAUGUUCGACGAGAUCCCACUGACCUUGCAGUAUGACAAAAGCUGCUAUUCUGUGAGUGUCAGAAUAUACAAUAAACUGCCCAUUAAUUUAAAAUUAUCAAAUAAGACUUUUUAAGAAAAAACUUAAACAAUGGUUAAGUGAGCGAUUAUUUUAUACCACUGGUGAAUUUCUAAAUGCGAAUAGUGUGACGACAUGAAAUGUGAAAAUGUAUAUAAAGAAUUAAUUAAAUAAUAUCAUUUUAUUGCUACUGACUUCCAGACAUAUUUCAGCCAAAUUAUUUAAUUUUUUUAUGUGUUUAAUAACUUAUACCUUUUAUUGUAUUUGAUAAAUUUGCAUGCCUAGUUAAACCUGGAGAAAAAUGUGAAACUGUAAGAUUGUAUCAUCGUAACAUACCAUGCUUAUACGCAAAUAAAGAAUUUGAUUGAUUGA